rnacentral:lncRNA from 1 species
CGGGGUUUUACCAUAUUGGCCAGGCUGGUCUCGAGCUCCUGACCUCAAGCUGUCCACCCUCCUUGGCCUCCCAAAGUGCUGGGAUUACAGAUGUGAGCCACCGCACCCAGCCUGAGGUAGAUUUUAUAUUUGUCAUUGCCCAGCAUCAAGCGUCAGGCAGGGAGGCAGAAAGAGCACCUGUAUUACAUUUAAGCGAAUCCAAGUUUGAAUCUUGCAUUCUGUCACUUCCUAACUGUGCAACCUAGAGCAAGUUCCCUAAUGUUUGUCUCUUCCUUCCUUAUCUGUGAUUUGAAGUGCUGACUCAUCUGUAGGCACUAAAUAAAUGGCAGGCAGGUGUUAUCUGUAUGGUGUCAAGGAGUUCCUUAAACCUCUCUGAGCAUGUUUCUUCCUCUGUAAAAUGGAAUAACAGCCCCAAUAUCAAAGGGAGAGGCUGAAGCAAAGUAUAUGACGUAAAGAGUUUAUUUGAGCCAGGAUAAGGAAGAUUCAGACAUCAGUCACCUUGGAUAUGAGCUCCACUUGGCCUUUAUUACAGGCAGAUUUUUAAAGGCAAAAAAGGAGGGGGACAAGGAUUGGACUGAUACAAAGUUCUGCCGCGGAUUCUCAUUGAUUUACAGAAAUAACAUUGAUUAGUGAUUGGCUACCCAUUGUUAAGCCUUAGAGUGUGGGAUGUUGUGUCCAGUGAGGUGUUAUUAGGUUAAUUCAUAGCUACUUGUGGCAAUAGCAGGCAGUUUUGACAGAUGAAUACAUAGCUCUAAAGAGGGAGAAUAAGAUGUGAUUGCCGUUUGAAUGCUUCUCUGGGCCUAAUAAUUUGAAAGAGCCCACAUUCCUCGAUAAAAGUUCUUUUCUUUCCUUGGGAUUAAGUUAGAUGAUAAAUUUACAAUGUUUAGCAUGCCGAUUUAUAUGUAUUAAGUAUUCAUAAAGUGUUAUUCCAUGUGCUGAGCGAGGGGAACACCCUCCCACGUGCUCCCAUGAGCCCUAUUUCUGGCAGAUGUAAAGAUUUUUUUUAAAUGGCUUUUUUUGGCCACAUCUAGGAAGUAAGAGGGAAAAUAAAGAGAAGUGAGAAACAGCUUAGUCCAUGAAAAUGGUAAUAAUGGUAGUAAUGAUGGUGAUGAGAAUGCUGCAGUUUUCUUCUGUAUGAUUUUUUUUUUUUUGAGACAGAGUCUCACUCUUGUCACCCGGGCUGGAGUGCAAUGGCACUAUCUCAGCUCACUGCAACCUUCACCUCCCGGGUUCAAGUGAUUCUCCUGCCUUAGCCUCCGGAGUAGCUGGGAUUACAGCCACGCACCACCACUCCUGGUUAAUUUUUAUAUUUAUAGUAGAGAUGGGGAUUCACCAUGUUGGCCAGGCUGGUCUCGAACUCCUGACCAGGUGUCAGGUGAUCCACCUGCCUCAGACUCCCGAAGCAUUGGGAUUACAGGCAUGAGCCAGUACGAUGUGUUUUUUUGUUUGUUUGUUUGUUUUUUUAUACUUUAAGUUCUAGGGUACAUGUGCACAAUGUGCAGGUUUGUUACAUAUGUAUACAUGCGCCAUGUUGGUGUGCUGUACCCAUUAACUCGUCAUUUACAUUAGGUGUAUCUCCUAAUGCUAUCCCUCCCCCCUCCCCCCACCCCAUGACAGGCCCCAGUGUGUGAUGUUUCCCUUCCUGUGUCCAAAUGUUCUCAUUGUUCAAUUCCCAUCUAUGAGUGAGAACAUGCGGUGUUUGGUUUUUUGUCCUUGCGAUAGUUUGCUGAGAAUGAUGGUUUCCAGCUUCAUCCAUGUCCCUACAAAGGACCUGAACUCAUCUUUUUUAUGGCUGCAUAGUAUUCCAUGGUGUAUAUGUGCCACAUUUUCUUAAUCCAGUCUAUCAUUGAUGGACAUUUGGGUUAGUUCCAAGUCUUUGCUAUUGUGAAUAGUGCCACAAUAAACAUACGUGUGCAUGUGUCUUUAUAGCAGCAUGAUUUAUAAUCCUUUGGGUAUAUACCCAGUAAUGGGAUGGCUGGGUCAAAUGGUAUUUCUAGUUCUAGAUCCUUGAGGAAUCACCACACUGUCUUCCACAAUGGUUGAACUAGCUUUUAUGCAUUGCAAAGUGACUACACAAAGUGACCUAUCCCUUGUCUCCUUUAUCUCUCUAGCAACCCUCCAGUUAUUAGGGCAGCUACUACUCUCAUCUUCCAUAUAAGAAGUGGGAACACUUUCAUGGAUGUUCUGGGACUCACAGUCCAAGUCCUGGUUCUUAGAGAGUUGGAUCCAGAUCCUGUGUCUUGUAGGUAUAUAGGUAUAUGUUUAUGCAUUGAAAUGAAAUAUGUACAACUAGGUCCUUCCCCGUCUCCCCUAUAAAGCCUAUAAAGUCUUCUAUGAAACAAAGUUAAUUCCAUUCUCAGACAGAGGCUCCCAGAAUCCAGUGUUUUGGUUGGUCUCCGCUACAAAUGCUUUUUCUGAUAUUUGUGUGUUUGCAAGUCCCUCUCUGAGACUUUCUAAAAUUUGAUUGUUAAUUGGCUGUUAUAUGCAUGAAGUUCUGGACUUGGUGUCCCAAGCUCUUUAUAGAUUUACUUUUUUUCUCCCCCUCCUGCCAUUAAAUAAUCACCCUUGAGCUUCUCUCAACUUACUCUCCAUCAAUAACCAUUGUAUUCGUUCCAUUACAGCCCUCCUAAAUACAAAACAAUGACGACAACAACAAACCAUUCAAACUUCCAACCAACUUCCCCUGAAGGCACAGAAGGUGAGACCUAAGGGAAAAGAAAUCCACCCUCUUUAACAUCAGCUAACAGCAUAGGAGUAAAUAGUUUUAAAGAAGGUGAAAGCUCUUCCCUUUUCCUAACCUAGCUUGGCCUUGAUUCUAUUAAUACCAAGCCUGUGUGAA